rnacentral:rRNA from 1 species
GACGGAGGGCGCAAACGUUGUUCGGAAUCACUGGGCGUAAAGGGCGCGUAGGCGGGAAAGUAAGUCAGACGUGAAAUCCCGGGGCUCAACUCCGGGACUGCGUUUGAAACUGCUAUCCUAGGGUGCAGGAGAGGGAGGCGGAAUUCCAGGUGUAGCGGUGGAAUGCGUAGAUAUCUGGAAGAACACCAGUGGCGAAGGCGGCCUCCUGGGCCAUUAUUGACGCUCAUGGACGAAAGCGUGGGGAUCAAACAGGAUUAGAAACCCUAGUAGU